rnacentral:rRNA from 1 species
UACGUAGGGACCGAGCGUUGUCCGGAAUCAUUGGGCGUAAAGAGCGUGUAGGCGGCUAUUUAAGUCCUGCGUGAAAUCCUGCGGCUCAACCGCAGACGGUCGUGGGAAACUGGAUGGCUAGAGUGCGGGAGAGGAGAGUGGAAUUCCCGGUGUAGCGGUGAAAUGCGCAGAUAUCGGGAGGAACACCUGUGGCGAAGGCGGCCCCCUGGGCCGGCCCUGACACUGAGACGCGAAGGCGUGGGGAGCGAACAGG